UUAUUGCUCUUGACGAGGAAUCCCUAGUAAGCACAAGUCACUAGCUUGUGCUGAUUACGUCCCUGCCCUUUGUACACACCGCCCGUCGCUACUACCGACUGAAUGGCUUAGUGAGGCCCUCGGAUCGGAGGUGAGGGCUGGCAACAGACCUCGCUUUCAAGAAGUUGGUCAAACUUGGUCAUUUAGAGGAAGUAAAAGUCGUAACAAGGUUUCCGUAGGUGAACCUGCGGAAGGAUCAUU
rnacentral:rRNA from 1 species